CUUCAGCGUCCAACGUGGCUUGCAUGGACUCGAGUGCUCUCUGGUGGUUCCGCCUGAAAAGAUGACGGUAGAAGAUGAAAAGCAUAUCAGAAUAUUUUGUGUACAUCAGGCGCGAGGAUAUUUCCAGGUAGCAGAAAACUGCUUCUUGAGAUCUUCAACAUUUUGACUGAAGGAGGUCUUGGCACGCUGGAGCUGGGAGACCAUGGAUUCACGCUCUUCCAGCUUUCUGCCCACCUCGGCUGCAGAGAUCAAGAUCCAGACGCAGCUUCUUCUCUUGUUCCAGGGAGCCCUCCAGCUAAAUUACACACAGAAUAUGACCUUAC